GACGAACGCUGGCGGCGUGCUUAACACAUGCAAGUCGAACGGAAAGGCCCUGCUUUUGUGGGGUGCUCGAGUGGCGAACGGGUGAGUAACACGUGAGUAACCUGCCCUUGACUUUGGGAUAACUUCAGGAAACUGGGGCUAAUACCGGAUAGGAGCUCCUGCUGCAUGGUGGGGGUUGGAAAGUUUCGGCGGUUGGGGAUGGACUCGCGGCAUAUCAGCUUGUUGGUGGGGUAGUGGCUUACCAAGGCUUUGACGGGUAGCCGGCCUGAGAGGGUGACCGGCGACAUUGCGACUGAGAUACGGCCCAGACUCCUACGGGAGGCAGUAGUGGGGAGUCUUGCACAAUGGGCGGAAGCCUGAUGUAGCGACGCUGCGUGCGUGAUGCCGGCCUUCGAGUGGUAAACCGCUUUCGCCUGUGACGAAGCGUGAGUGACGGUAAUGGGUAAAGAAGCACCGGCUAACUACGUG
rnacentral:rRNA from 1 species